AGAGGACCGGAGUGGACGCAUCACUGGUGUUCGGGUUGUCAUGCCAAUGGCACUGCCCGGUAGCUAAAUGCGGAAGAGAUAAGUGCUGAAAGCAUCUAAGCACGAAACUUGCCCCGAGAUGAGUUCUCCCUGAGACUUUAGAUCUCCUGAAGGAACGUUGAAGACGACGACGUUGAUAGGCCGGGUGUGUAAGCGCAGCGAUGCGUUGAGCUAACCGGUACUAAUGAACCGUGAGGCUUAACCUUACAACGCCGAAG
rnacentral:rRNA from 1 species